UGUGUGUUUGAAUAAAUGUGAGGGUUGGCUAAGGAACUUGUUAAUCAAAAGGCAUUACAACUUGUGUAGCGGUAUAAGAGUUUUGAUAGGUCUUGAGAAGCUAGAGUGUAUUAAGAGAGUUGUUCAUAUUAUUUGCUAUGUUUCUUUAGAAUGUCAUAUUGAAUGCUAGAAAGUGUUUCUUUUGGUUAUAAGCUUCCAUUUUUAAACAUCUCCAAUUUUCAUUUUGAAAGUUUACUUGUGGACAAGUAAAGAACUAAUGUGGGGAGUUGAUAACUAAUGAUCU
rnacentral:lncRNA from 1 species